rnacentral:rRNA from 1 species
AGGGAAUCUUCCGCAAUGGACGAAAGUCUGACGGAGCAACGCCGCGUGAGCGAUGAAGGCCUUCGGGUCGUAAAGCUCUGUUGUUAGGGAAGAACAAGUACCGGAGUAACUGCCGGUACCUUGACGGUACCUAACCAGAAAGCCACGGCUAACUACGUGCCAGCAGCCGCGGUAAAACGUAGGACGCAAACGUUAUCCGGAAUUACUGGGCGUAAAGGGCGCGCAGGCGGAUGGGUAAGUGAGGCAUGAAAGCUCCCUGGCUAAACCGGGAGAGGAUGUCUGAGACUGCCGAUCUGGAGUGAGGUAGAGGGGUGUGGAAUUCCGCGUGUAGUGGUGAAAUGCGUAGAGAUGCGGAGGAACACCAGUGGCGAAGGCGGCACCCUGGACCUUAACUGACGCUGAGGCGCGAAAGCAUGGGGAGCGAA